GUUCAGAAAAAGAGUUUUAGCUCUACCUUAAGUUUUCUCAUUAAACUAAACAAACCCCAAAACUUAAGAGCUAUUCAAAUAAGGCACAGCUUAUUUGAAAUAGGGCACAGCCUACAACAUAGGGUAAACAAGAGUAACUUAAAUAAAGUAGGCCUAAAAGCAGCCACCUUUAAAAAAGCGUCAAAGCUUAACCACUCCCUACUCACAAUACCUUAAAUUUUCACUAACCCCUCACUAUUACUGAAUAAUUUUAUAAUUAUAUAAAAGCUAUCAUGCUAGAACUAGUAACAAGAAAUUGCCUUUCUCCUAAAUGUAAACAUAAACCAAAAUAGACUAUCUAUUGGUUAUUAACGUAAAUGCCAAAUUAUAGCAACAUCCUCCAGAAAAUCCUAUAGCCCCCAACGUUAACCUUACACUAGAACAUUUCAGGAAAGAUUUAAAGAAAAAGAAGGAACUCGGCAAAUUUUAGCCUCGCCUGUUUACCAAAAACAUCGCCUCUUGACAAAACAUAAGAGGUCCAGCCUGCCCAGUGACAAAGUUCAACGGCCGCGGUACCCUAACCGUGCGAAGGUAGCAUAAUCACUUGUUCUUUAAAUGAGGACUCGUAUCAACGGCACUACGAGGGCUAUACUGUCUCCUUUUUCUAAUCAGUGAAACUGAUCUCCCCGUGAAGAAGCGGGGAUCAAAAUAUAAGACGAGAAGACCCCAUGGAGCUUUAAACUCACCACGCACCUCUGUGUCCUCAUACCCUUAAACACAAGAGAUCUACGUGCUAGUUUUAGGUUGGGGGGACCACGGAGUAUAACUUAACCUCCAUAACAAAUGGGCUAACACCCUUAUCCAUGAGACACAGCUCUAAGAAUUACUAAACUAAUGCUUAUGACCCGAUAUUCGAUCAAUGAACCAAGUUACCCUGGGGAUAACAGCGCAAUCUACUUCAAGAGCCCAUAUCGACAAGUAGGUUUACGACCUCGAUGUUGGAUCAGGGUAUCCCGGUGGUGCAACCGCUACCGAYGGUUCGUUUGUUCAACGAUUAAAACCCU
rnacentral:rRNA from 1 species